rnacentral:lncRNA from 1 species
GACCUUUCCUUGUCUUUAGGUGCCCUCUCCCUGCUCCAGAGCCCAGAACUUCGCUCUCUCUUGAACAUUUAUGGUGUGCUAACUGCUAACAGCUGCUUCCCCUUCACUCACAACCCCAAGGCUCCCAGACCUGUGCCGGCACCCACCCAGAGCAUCUUCCCAGGGACCUCUGUGUCUUCACCCCUGCAGGGCCUGCACAGAGACCGGCCCACACCCUUCCCACGGGAGGCCUUUCCAUUCUCACCGUCUUUGCCAGGCCCCCAGCCAGCCCUGCGUGUGUUUUCUCUCUGUAAUGUUCCCUGGUGCUCUAUGGUGCAUGUACCACAUGCUCAACACUGCUGGGGACUGGCCUCUCCCUGUUGCCACCGUUCUGCCCGCAGCCAGAUGAGGCAGCUGCUCUCUCACUCGUUGCAGGCGGAAACCCAAGUCAGAGCCUGCAGGUUCCUGACCACCCAGCAGUGGAGGCUGGGCUCACCCUCGAUCGUGUCUCUUGCCCCAGCAUUUUCUGCUCAGGGCUGCCCACUCGGGCCUUGUGAUAAAGGAAGAGAAUGGAGACCGAGGGAGCAGACCCAGCUCUGAGGAAGCAGACACCCGGUGAAUCCUAAAGGAAAUCAACCCUGAUUACUCAUUGGAAGGACUGACUGAUGCUGUAGAUGAAGCUCUGAUAAUUUAGCCACCUGGUACAAAGAGCCGACUCACUGGAAAAUUCCCUGAUGCUGGGAAAGAUUGAGGGCAGGAGAAGGGGACGAUAGAGGACAAGAUGGUUGGAUGGCAUCACUGACUCNNNNNNNNNNNNNNNNNNNAAGCUCUGGGAGUUGGUGAUGAACAGGGAGGCCUGGUGUGCUGCAGUCCACGGGGUCGCAAAGAGUCCGACACGACUGAGCGACUGAACAACAAUCAGGCCCCCGGAGCCUGUCCCCAGGCACAGCCAGCUCUCCCGGGGCCUCCCCUGCUGUGUCCCGCAGCUCCACCCAGGAAGGGAGGCUGUGUGACCUCCUGUGCAGCAUGGAGGGCCCUUCAGGAACAGGCUGACAGCAGAGGAGACAGGGAACCAGUGGGAGAAGGACCUCCUCCAGAGCCCCACC